CUAUCAACUUUCGAUGGUAAGGUAUUGGCUUACCAUGGUUUCAACGGGUAACGGGGAAUUAGGGUUCGAUUCCGGAGAGGGAGCCUGAGAAACGGCUACCACAUCCAAGGAAGGCAGCAGGCGCGCAAAUUACCCAAUUCCGAUACGGAGAGGUAGUGACAAUAAAUACUGAUACAGGGCUCUUUUGGGUCUUGUAAUUGGAAUGAGUACAAUUUAAACCUCUUAACGAGGAACAAUUGGAGGGCAAGUCUGGUGCCAGCAGCCGCGGUAAUUCCAGCUCCAAUAGCGUAUAUUAAAGUUGUUGCAGUUAAAAAGCUCGUAGUUGAACCUUUGGCCUGGCUGGCAGGUCCGCCUCACCGCGUGCACUUGUCCGGCCGGGCCUUUUCUUCUGGAGAACCGCAUGCCCUUCACUGGGUGUGUUGGGGACCAGGACUUUUACUUUGAAAAAAUUAGAGUGUUCAAAGCAGGCCUUUGCUCGAAUACGUUAGCAUGGAAUAAUAGAAUAGGACGUGCGGUCCUAUUUUGUUGGUUUCUAGGACCGCCGUAAUGAUUAAUAGGGACAGUCGGGGGCAUCAGUAUUCAAUUGUCAGAGGUGAAAUUCUUGGAUUUAUUGAAGACUAACUACUGCGAAAGCAUUUGCCAAGGAUGUUUUCAUUAAUCAGUGAACGAAAGUUAGGGGAUCGAAGACGAUCAGAUACCGUCGUAGUCUUAACCAUAAACUAUGCCGACUAGGGAUCGGGCGGUGUUUCUAUUGUGACCCGCUCGGCACC
rnacentral:rRNA from 1 species